rnacentral:rRNA from 1 species
UACGAAGGGUGCAAACGUUGCUCGGAAUUAUUGGGCGUAAAGCGCACGUAGGCGGAUCUUUAAGUCAGGGGUGAAAUCCCAAGGCUCAACCUUGGAACUGCCUUUGAUACUGGGGAUCUCGAGUCCGGAAGAGGUGAGUGGAACUGCGAGUGUAGAGGUGAAAUUCGUAGAUAUUCGCAAGAACACCAGUGGCGAAGGCGGCUCACUGGUCCGGUACUGACGCUGAGGUGCGAAAGCGUGGGGAGCAAACAGG